rnacentral:rRNA from 1 species
GCGUUGGGAGCUCUCCCNUAUGGUCGACCUGCAGGCGGCCGCGAAUUCACUAGUGAUUAGAGUUUGAUCCUGGCUCAGAUUGAACGCUGGCGGCGUGCUUAACACAUGCAAGUCGAACGUGAAAGUCCUUCGGGGCGAGUAAAGUGGCGCACGGGUGAGUAACGCGUGGAUAAUCUACCCUUAAGAUGGGGAUAACGGCUGGAAACGGUCGCUAAUACCGAAUACGCUCCCGAUUUUAUCAUUGGGGGGAAAGAUGGCCUCUGCUUGCAAGCUAUCGCUUAAGGAUGAGUCCGCGUCCCAUUAGCUAGUUGGCGGGGUAACGGCCCACCAAGGCAACGAUGGGUAGCCGGUCUGAGAGGAUGACCGGCCACACUGGAACUGGAACACGGUCCAGACUCCUACGGGAGGCAGCAGUGGGGAAUAUUGCGCAAUGGGCGAAAGCCUGACGCAGCGACGCCGCGUGAGGGAUGAAGGUUCUCGGAUCGUAAACCUCUGUCAGGGGGGAAGAAACCCCCUCGUGUGAAUAAUGCGAGGGCUUGACGGUACCCCCAAAGGAAGCACCGGCUAACUCCGUGCCAGCAGCCGCGGUAAUACGGAGGGUGCAAGCGUUAAUCGGAAUCACUGGGCGUAAAGCGCACGUAGGCGGCUUGGUAAGUCAGGGGUGAAAUCCCACAGCCCAACUGUGGACCUGCCUUUGAUACUGCCAGGCUUGAGUACCGGAGAGGGUGGCGGAAUUCCAGGUGUAGGAGUGAAAUCCGUAGAUAUCUGGAGGAACACCGGUGGCGAAGGCGGCCACCUGGACGGUAACUGACGCUGANGUGCGAAAGCGUGGGUAGCAAACAGGAUUAGAUACCCUGGUAGUCCACGCUGUAAACGAUGGGUGCUGGGUGCUGGGAUGUAUGUCUCGGUGCCGUAGCUNACGCGAUAAGCACCCCGCCNGGGGAGUACGGGUCGCAAGGCUGAAACUCAAAGAAAUUGACGGGGGCCCGCACAAGCGGNGG